GGUCUCAAACUCCUAAACUCAAGCGAUCCACCCCCGCCUGGGCCUCCCAAAGUGCUGGGAUUACAGGUGUGAGUUGCCCCACCCAGCCGUGAUUAAUUUGGGCUUUCAACACCCUAAAAUGGGAGAAGGUGGUAGCAUAGAGUGUGUAUGACUGAUUGUAUUUACAUUUGUUGCAAUUUGAAGAAAUGUAGUUAGAAGUCCAUCUGCAGAGAGAUUAUGACCAUCGCUUCUGUCUGACCAAGGUCUGUUUUCCUGAUCGGUUGGAUGCCUCAGCGUGCAUUCCCAGGACUUUAUGAGAUGAUCCACUGAAGGAUUUCAGCAAGAACAUUCUGGAGUGUCAACUGAUACGUUUUUCAGUCUCAGCUUGCUCACUGUUUGAGUAGUGUCACAUGUACAUGCGUGUUAUUAGAGGCGAAUGCACGUUUUUGUUACUGAGAGAGUGGCCCUAGAGCAGAUGCCAGCGAACUGCAGCCCACAGCCCGAAUCUAGCCUGCCGCCUCUUUUCAUGUGGCUCACAAGCUAGUCAUAGUAUUAUAUUUUAAUAGUGUGGGAAAACAUCAGAAGAAGAACAAUAUUUUGUGGAACAUGAAAAUUAUAUGUUUACAUUUUAGCAUCCAUAAACGUGGUUUCAUUAGAACACACUUCUAUGGUUUGAAUGUCCUCUCCAAAACUCAUGUUGAAACUUAGUCUCUAACGUCACUAUAUUAAGAGAUAGGGCCUUUAAGAAGUGAUGGGGGCAUGGGAACUCUGCCCUCAUGAAUGGAUUAAUCUAUUCAUGGAUUAAUGGAUUAAUGCAUUAAUGGAUUGGUGGUUUAUCAUCGCAAGGAAACUGGCAGUUUUGUAAGAAGAGGAAGGGAGACAGUGGCAGGGAAACUGGCGGCUUUGUAGCAAGAGGAAGUGAGACUUGAGUCCUCUCACCACAGGUUGCCCUGCACCAACCACCACAGGACUCUGUAGAGAGUCCUGGCUAGCAAGAGGAUCUUCACCAGAUGUGGCCUCUUGACCUGAGACUUCUCAGCCUCCAUAACUGUAAGAAAUAAAUUCCUUUUCUUUAUAAAUGACCCAGUUUUAGGCAUUCUGUUUUAAGCAACAGAAAAUUAACUAAGACAAUGCUCAUGCCCAUUCACUACAUAUUAUCCACGGCUGUUGCCUGCAUUUUGAUGGCAGAGUUGAGCAGUUGCAACAAAGACCAAAUGGGCCAGUAAAAGCCGAAAAUAUUUACUAUGUGGUUCUUACAGAAAACACUUGCCAACCCCUGCCCUAAUCACUGGCUUCAUUUCCUGGGACAAUGUUUCUGUACUUAUCCAACUUUGUGGAUAGCAUUUUUUUUUUUUUGAGAUGGAGUCUCGCUCAGUCACCCAGGCUGGAGUGCAGUGGCACGAUCUUGGCUCGCUGCAACCUCCACCUCCCAGGUUGAAGAAAUUCUCUGCUCAGCCUCCCAAGUAGCUGGAAUUACAGGCGCUCACCACCAUGCCCUGCUAAUUUUUGUAUUUUUAGUAGAGACGGUGUUUCACCAUCUUGGCCAGGCUGGUCUUGAACUCCUGACCUUGUGAUUCACCCACCUUGGCCUCCCAAAGUGCUGGGAUUACAGGCGUGAGCCACUGUGCCUUAAUAAACUUUCUCAAAUAACUUACAUAUAUAUCGAAUGAGUAACCCCCCUCAGUAAUUUUACCUGGGAUUAGGGAAGAGGCAUUAGAAGAAGGCCAGGGAAAACAUCUUGAAGCCAGCAGACUGUGAAAAGUCAAGAAGCUGAACAAAGAGUUGAUUUGGUGGGCUGUGAAUGAGCUUGAGGGCAGGCCAUGUGUGUCCUCCUUUAAUCUGCUACUGUCUUUGUAUGGAUGUUGAUACUGUAGUCAGCCAGUGGUUACAGAGUCACCUCAGCCUCAUAUUAGUGUCAUGCUGCCUUGUACUAUACUUACUGAGCACUUCCUUCCCCAGGAGCCCGCAGCUCUACGCUCAAAUUUAUUUCUCCCCUUAACAUUCCUGGGAGAGGGGCUUUCCUUGGAUACAAUCUCUUGUGAUCAAUUCACUUUUUAGGUACAUGAAAUUUUAAAAAGAGACAAACCCUCAUCAGAAAUGGGAGAACCUUUCAGCAAAGCCCAGGUGGCUGUUCACAGGUAUUUGCUGGUUGUUUUUUUUUUUUUUUUUUUUGAGACGGAGUCUCGCUCUUUUGCCCAGGCUGGAGUGCAAUGGUGUGAUCUUGGCUCACUGCAACCUCUGCCUCCCGGGUUCAAGUGAUUCUCCUGCCUCAGCCUCCUGAGUAGCUGGGAUUACAGGAGCAGGCCACCACACCUGGCUAAUUUUUGUAUUUUUAGUAGAGAUGGGGUUUCACCAUGUUGGUCGGGCUGGUCUCAAACUCCUGACCUCGUGAUCUGCCUGCCUCUGCCUCGCAAAAUGCUGGGAUUACAGAUGUGAGCCACCACACCCAGCCUAUUUGCUGUUUGAAUGUAGGUGAAUGACUGGGUCCAGCCCCAUUUAUUGAUUCCAAAGUUGACCCUUACUUGUCUGACUCUUAUUUGAUCAGCUACUCUGCUAUUUUAUAUAGGAAGAUUUAGAUUCCAGGAACCCUGGUUAUCUCAAAGUUUUGAUGAGCACAACAGGCUUCUGCCAUCAGGUAAGUGUUCAUCUUACUUAACAAGAUUUUUUUUUUUUUUUUGGUGGAUGUCCAAAAUAGAAGUUCUUGAGAACCCAGGUGAGAGGGUGCAUGUGGGUUUAGGCAACUGGUCAGCCCCCCAAAAUAAGAUCCGGUAAAGGCAUGACAGACAGAGGCUCUGGUGCAGGAAGUAGCUUAUUCCAAAUGUUAGGAGGAAACAAAGUAAGUGGCUGGAUUGUGAAUCCGUGUAAUUUAUCAGUGGAUACUACAGUUGGAUGAUAAGUAGAAAACCUCAGAGAGCUGAAUGAGAAAAGAAAUGGUUCUGAUGAGGAAGGCCUAACUCAGAGAAGAUGGAAGAUUUUAUUCUGGGAGGAAGAAUAGACUUAGUAACAUGAAUGGACUUCACCAGCUCAGAAGCCCUCUGGAGUUCUGAGUCAACUGCUUAUUAAUACAGUGUUACGUAAUGACUUAAGGAUGCACAACGUAAACUUUCCAGAAAAGCAAAAACCACAAAAGUGGGCAGAACCUUAAUUUCUCCUUUGUUUGCUGAUUCGUGGAGGCUCACAUGAUUUCUUUUAAGGCUGGUGCAGCCCCUCCACUGGCGUCCAAGAAACGGAAAUCUCCCAAUGUUAGUAAUCCCGUCAGAAGUUUCGGUUUUCGUGGAAAACAUGCCUGGUGGCCUACGUGGGGCCUCCAGGCCACACACCUCCACUCCAUGAAGCUGUCUCUCUCAGGAUGCACGGGUGACAAUAUGUUCAGAUGGAUGCUUUGAAUCCAGGGCCCCAACCCCCAGCCUGCUGAGACACGACACCAAUACUGUGAUUGCCUGAAAAAGAUAAUUGGCUCAUACUUCUCUCAAUAUUAAAAGUUUAAAAAAUAUGUGAAAUGAAAAUGCUAGAGAAAUGAAUUCAAAAAGUCCAAAUCCAAAAUAAUCUAAUCUGAUUAUUAUUUUCAAUUUUGAAUAUUAAUUUAUAGAAGUCUUAAAGCACUGCCAGUCAUGGUGCUCACAUGUUGUUUGCACAUAGACCACCUCACAAUGAAUGAAAUGAUCGGCUCCUUCUUUCACUAGGGGCACAAAGUCACGACCUGGCUUGUCCCUGGGAUUUGCCUGCUGUGUGUUCCCUCGUCUUCAUGAGAGAGGUUCAGGCAGAGAAUCCUGCCUGGAUUCCCACGUCUGUACAGUGCCAGGCACCUGACAGUGGAGGGCUGUGAUAUGAUUUGGCUGUGUCCCCACCCAAAUCUUAUCUUGAAUUGUACUCCCAUAAUUCCCAUGUGUUGUGGGAGGGACCCAGUGUGAGAUAAUUGAAUCAUGGGCGCAGUUUCCCCCUUACUGUUCUAGUGGCAGUGAAUAAGUCUCAUGCCAUCUGAUGGUUUUAUAAGGGGAAACCAGGCCGGGCGCAGUGGCUCACGCCUGUAAUCCCAGUACUUUGGGAGGCCAAGGUGGGUGGGUCACGAGGUAAGGAGAUGGAGACCAUCCUGGCUAACAUGGUGAAACCCCGUCUCUACUAAAAAAAGAAAAGAAAAAAAAAAUUAGCCGGGCAUGUUGGCGAGCACCUGUAGUCCCAGCUACUCUGGUGGCUGAGGCAGGAGAAUGGCGUGAACCCAGGAGGCAGAGUUUGCAGUGAGCCGAAAUCGCAUCACUGCACUCCAGCCUGGGCGAUAGAGCGAGACUCUGUCUCAAAAAAAAAACCAAAAAACAAGAAAAAGGGGUGGUUCUCAUUCUCUUUCUUGCCUGCCGCCAUGUAAGAUGUGACUUUUGCCUUCUGCUAUGAUGUGAGGCCACCCCAGCCACGUGGAACCGUGGGUCCAUUAAACCUCUUUUCUUUAUAAAUUACCCAGUCUUGGGUAUGUCUUUGUCAGCAGCAUGAAAAUGGACUAAUACAGGCUGCACCCUGGUCCUGCCUUCUGCUGUGUUUCCCUGAGGCAGCAAAGCCUCCUAUGAAACGUGUCUUCCUUUACUGUCUGCCUCACCUCCUCACUCCAUUUAUUCCGCGUUUCACUGCCACUUCUAUGAUGAGCCGCUGCUUUGGAAGGGUCCCCUAAAUGGUCUGCUGAUGGCUUGGCCUUCUGAGCCUCCCUCACUCCCUGUGCACUGGGGUAGGCCCCUUCUCCUGCAGACAGGCUCUCAGGCCACAGGGAAUGGGUAUGGAAUGGCAGGUGUGGCCGGAAACAUGGGGAUGUGUGAGGAGUGUGUGCAUGUGGGGUGUGUGAAUGUGAGCAUGUGUGUGUGCAUGUGAUGUGUGUGUGAAUGUGAGAGUUUGAGAGAGUGCAUGUGGGGUGUGUGAAUGUGUGUGAGCGUUUGAGAUUGUGCAUGUGUGUGUGCAUGUGAUGUGCGUGUGAAUGUGUGUGAGAAUUUGAGAGUGCAUGUGGUGUGUGCAUGUGUGUGUGAAUGUGUGUGAGAGUGUGCAUGUGGUGUGUGUGAAUGUGAGCAUUUGAGUGUGCAUGUGUGUGUGUGCAUGUGGUACAUGAAUGAAUGAGAAUGUGUAUGUGUGUAUUGGGAAAGUGAGUGUGAUUGUGUAUGUGUGAGUGUAUGUGAGCAUAUGUGAGUGCAAGUAUAUGUGCAGGUGUUCAUGUAUGUGUGUGUGUGUGCAUGUGAAUGCAUAUGUGUAUGUUGGUGAACAUCAGCCCGAGAGUGUGGACACCAGAGUGAGUGAGAGUGUGUAUGAGUGAGUGCAGGCGUGAGUGUGAGCAUGAGUGUGAGUGUGUGAGUGUGAGCAUGAGUGUGAGUGUUAGCGUGAGUGUGAGCGUGUGAGCAUGAAUGUGAGUGUGUGUGCGUGAGUGUGUGUGUGAGGGGUGAGGUUGCAGUAGGUGUCUUACUCAUCUAACUUUGUCGGUGGAACAGGCGCUCCCCUCCCAUCUUGAGGUGCCCUGUGCGGUGAGCUCCGGGCUUCUGAGGACAAGAGUGUGGCAGAGGGCGCCACUUAUGGCAUGAGUGAAGUCUGCUGGUGGCUGCUGUAAGCUGUGUGUCACGUUGCCUUACAGGCACAUUCUAUAAAGGAAAUUGGUUUGCUUUUCCUUAAAUGAGACUAGGGAAGCUAGGGGUAGGGUGACAGGUAGCUGGAGAUGAGGAUUUUCUCACUCGCUCCUCGAAUUGUACUGUUGGGUGAAUGGGCAGGUGCAUGAGGGGUCAGUGGUAGGUGCACUGGGUGCAGAGCCCCACUGCACAGGGUCCCUCUGACCCACCUGGGCCAGUCCCAUGCCAGCCCCUUCCCAGGUGCUUUUACCUCCAGCAUCUUCCGAUCUGCUCAAACUUCCAGCAGUGGGGUCUUUGGGGGUCCUCAGGGCUCUGUCCUGGAUGUGCCUUGAACUCCAGCCUGUUUCCUUUAGGGCCUCCACAGCCUCCCGGGGCCCCAAUAACCUCCAUAUGCCUGUACUGCCCUGGCUGUACCCCUGCUCGUUCUUCUUGUCUGAGCUCCACACCUGUGUGUGUGUCUGCACAUCCUGCACCCACCUCCCCACACUGCUUCUCAGAACCUGCAUAACUCCCUGCCAUGAAUAAUUCUAUGUGGCAACUUGACUGGGGCAUGGGGUGCCCAGAUACUUGGCCUAACCUGAUUCCGGGCAUUUCUGUGAGGCUGUUUUUGGAUGAGUUUAUCACUUAAGGUGAUGAGUGCGCAAAGUAGAUUGUCCUCCCCAGUGUCGGGGGGCCUCAUGAGAUCAGCUGAGGGUCCCGAGCUGAGUAGAACACGGCUGGCCCUCCCCCAGGUAAGAGAGAAUUCCUCCUGCCUGCCGGCCUUCGAGCUAGCUCAUGGGCUUUUUCCUGCCUUUGGACUAGGACUGAAACACCAGCUUUUCCUGGGUCUUGAGCCUGCAGCUUUUGGACUGGAACCUACACUCUGGGCUCUCCUGGUUCUCAGGCCUUUGAACUCAGAUGGGAACUGUACCCUUAGCUCUCCUGGGUGUCCAGCUUGCUGACCACAGAUCUUGGAACUUCUCUGCCUCCAUAAUCACGCAAGCCAAUUCGUUGUAAUACAUCUCUAUCUGUCUAUGUCUUCUAGGUUAAGUUUCCUGGAGAAUUCUGAAGGAUAUGCCCCCUUCCUCUCCUACAGCUCAGAGUUGUUCUGUGCACUUGGAUCAGCCUCCACAACUUCCCCCCGGGACAGGGCACCCAUCACCAUCUCCUACCUGGACAGCAGCAAACACUGCCCCCGUGACUUCCUGGUGCCAUCCUUGGCUCCAUUACGUCCAUUCUCCAGUGGCUGGCAGAGUGAGCUUGAAGAACGUGUGACAUGCCCUUCAGAAUGUUCUACUUCCUGUUCCAGAAGGACAGCCCCUCAUGCCUUCCCGCGGGCCACACGCCACCUCUUCCUCAGUGCCCCAGCCUGGCAUCCUCUUCCUGCAUUCAGCCUUCUUUUCCGAGGUGUCAUCUUGCUGGAGGGCAGAAGGAUUCCCUGGAACCUGGGGGCCAGCAGGACAGAGGAAACAGAAAGUACAUGACCGAUGAUGUCUUUCGACCACAGAAAGGGCUGGAAGAAGCAGGGGACCUACUGUUUGAAUAAACCCAGUGGAAAAACAGAAGCCCCAUUUCAUACUUGACUCAGCUCUUCAAGUUUAAAUCUUGAAUCUCCUCAACUACACGGAACAGUGUCUCUCCCAAGUCAUCUGACACCCACUCUGUUCUCUGGAUCAUUCCUUCCUAGAGAACGUUGCUCUUGGAGGGCUGUGAUCUGCUCUCACCCACUUGCCUUUCUGACCCACUGAGUGCAUCUCAACAGUCACUUGGGGUGAUCCGAUCUGACCAGGAAGGGUUGGGUGGCUCGUGGAGCUUGGGAAGCACUCUCACUGUGGCGGUCCCCAUUGGUGGUCAUGGGGUUGCCACAGUGAGCUACGUUUCUACCCUCAUCUCUCUAUAUGUUACCGUGGAAUCUCUGACUGAGGACCCAUGGGCUCACCCAAUGUGAUAAAGUCCUGAAGCUCAGCCGGGACGUCCGACCCCAGCUGCAGGACUUUCCAAUAGACAGAUGCAUAGAACUUGAGAAGAAAUCGACUUAGAAACCUGAAGUUGGAAAACUGGUUGCCUGACAUUCUGUGCAAGACUGAAUCUCUGAGAAAUGAAGGCUGUGUAACUUUGGGACCAUGUCUUUUCCAGCCUACAUAGACCCCCAGGAAACUUUGCAGUUGUUCCCCAAGUAUGGAUGGAGUCAAACUUGAUGUCCUUUCAUCCCCCCAUCCCAUCCACUAAUCCAUAUCCUUUGGAAAUUUUAGAGUGCCGGGCCUCAUGUAAAUACACCAAAAACAAUUUAAGUCAUUUAUGUUCUACUAAGCCAAGAGUUCUUUAGCGGUGGAAGAAGAUGGGGUCUUACACGAAUGGAAGGGUCUUGGCUAUUUGCGUCGGUAUCAACAGAAGGACUAGACGCUUGCACUAAAAGAAAAAGCUGAGGGAUGGGGGCAGGAAGCGGGAAGCUGGGACCCAAGCCCCACCUUCCUGAGUUGGAAGGUGACAGGUAGACUCCUGCUUGUUUGCCAGAGAGGCCUGGCAGAGGAGUGACAGGGUUUCAAUCUGCAGUGGCAACAUCUCUGCAACCCUGAACUCCUGGGCUCAAGCGAUCCCCCUGCUGCAGCAUCCGGAGUAGCCAGGACUAUAAGCACACGCCACCACACCCAGCUAAUUCUUAAUUUUUAAAGGUUUUUGGUACAGACAGGAAUCUGUGUUUUCAGUGUUACUCAUAAGAAGUCAUAGUUGAGAAACAGUGACUGCUCUGUGGGCGCUUGGGAGUUGGAAAGUCUUGGAGAGGAGGGUCCUUGGAGGAUGUGAAGCUGGGCAUCCAAGGAUGGGAGGGUUUUGCAGAUGGGAGGUCAGGCUAGGUAGGAAAAGACAUCACAGGCAGGUACGAGGAUCCCUGAGUCUGUCAGUCAGGUUGCAGGUGGGGGCUUUAUAAGGAGCAGGUAACUGGCAAAUCACGGAGGUCAGGGCCCCUGCAAAGGGUGUAGGCCUGGGGCAGCGUUCAGAGAUGCAGAGCAGAGCAGGACACGGAAAUACCCAGGACUGUCCGAGGAGCAGAGCACAGCAGCAGCAGAGAUGGGGUGGUUGGUGGGUGUGGGGAGGACUCAGCCCUGCUGUGGGCACAAAGGUGGGGAUGGAGGAGGGUGGGCACCAAGGCUGGUCCUGAGGCAGUAGAGGGUGGGUGGGUCCCUUCCAGAAAUGUCCAGCACGGGGCAUCCUUAUCCAAUCCCACAUCAGUAGGCUCAGCGCCACCCUGGACUCAUUGGAAAUGCAGAUUCUCAGGCCCUGCCCAGCCCUCCUGAAUCAGAAAUGCUGGGGAGGUGCCCCAACAUCUGUGUUCUCACAGGCCCCAGGGGAUUUUGUGGCGCUCAAGUUGUGGAGCCACUGUCCUAUUGUGUUUUCCUCCCUCCCAGUCACUCCUCUUCCUUCUCCUGAGCUUGUCCUCCCCAGUGGUGGUCAAGGCUGGGUCUCCAUGUGUCUCACACUCAGCUGUCUUCCCAUUGUGACAGGCCAUGGUGAGCCUCUGUGGCUUCUGAGAAGUCACCCAGAUGACUCAAAGUUAAAUCACCUGCUUUGCAGCAGAGCCAGGGGGCGGUGGGGGCAUCACUCUUUGACAACAGGAAGGGCUGUUAAACAAAGGCUGGUGGCCAGGAGUUCCCCUACUUCCCAAGAGUUCGAGGAAAUAACUUCCUUGCAGUGUCAGGGAUUCAGGGAGAGGAAACAGACUCCCUUCUAGCGUGUGAUGUCAACACAGGAGUGACAAUGGGCUUCCCACCUCCAAUGUCCCUAAAGCGGGUGCUCAUCCACUGCGACCCUGUCUCAGGGUGGGGAAAUGGACAGGUGGCUUCGUGCAGCCCUGCACCCUUCCAAGCAUCUUGUCAGCUCCAUUCCUGUCUGGAAUAUUCCAAGAGGACCUUAUAAGAUUGAGAAUGAGGGUCUCCUUAUAAAUGUAAACCUCACUCAGGCUGCAGCAGAAACCUACGGGGAGGCCAAAUAAACUGGGGGCUCUGUGGAUUGUAUGUCCCCCCGGCUUGUCGAGGUGAGGAACAGUUUCACUCCUGGGCUGUGCCACCCGGUGCCGAGGGUGAGCUGGGCCAGGAAUGUAACAAUGAUGGGACGAGAAUAGGGAAACAAAGCUGAGUUUCUGUAGAAAGUGUUAUCUAUGAGGUCUUUCACUUUAUUUUCUAAUUUGCAAAGAUACUUCUGAUUUUCCUGCUGUCAGCCAUCAAUAUCUUCCUCAGAUGUUCUUUUUCCAGCUCGAGAGAACAAAGGGCAUUUGAGGCAAAGAUUGAACCUAGGAACAGAGAGGAAUGUAUGGUGCAUGAUCUGCCUGGGCCUGAGUAGACGGACCUCAGCACAGUGGUGGAGACUGGGUUGUGGGCACAGACAGCAGAAGAUGGAUAAGGACAAGGGUCUCUGGGUUGGCUGCUGGCUCCACCACUUAGCUGCGUGUCAUCCCUGGUGAGAGAUUGGACAGGAGAGAAUGAGGUUGUCCAUGUCUCCAGGACCCAUCCCCAUCUGAAACCACUGUCUCCUGUGGCUGUGACACAGGCAGCCUCCCUGGCCUGUCCCUGCUCUGAUGGGAAGACUUGGUGCAAAAAGGGGUGCAGGCUCCUGAUGUUUUUUAAGUGAACUUAAAAAAAAUCAUGGUAAAAUACCUAACAUAAAAUUUACCAUUUUAGCCCUUUUUAAGUGUACAAUUCAGUGGCACUAAAGACAUUCAUACUAUUGCCUAACUACCACCAUUAUCCAUCUCCAGAACUUUUUUUUAUCUUGCAGAACUGAAACUCUGUACCCAUGACACACCAACCCCCUCCCUCCCUUCUCCUCUCAUCUCCUGGUAACCACGAUUCCAUUUUCCGUCUCUAUGAUUUGAUUAUUCUCAGUAACUCAUGUAAAUGGAAUUAUACAGUAUUUGUCCUUUUGUGUCUGGCUUAUUUCAUUUAGCAUAAUAUCCUCAAGGUUCAUCUAUGUUGCAGCAUGAGUCAGAAGUUCAUUUCUUUUUAAGGCUGAAUAAUAUUUCAUUACAUGUAUGUACCACAUUUUAUUCAUCUAUCGAUGGACAUUUGGGUUGUUUCUACUUUUUGGCUAUUGUGAAUAAUGAACACUGUUGUGCAAAUAUCUGUUCAAGUCUUUGCUUUCAAUUUUCUAAUGUAGAUAUCCAGAAGUGGAAUCGCUGUAUGAUGUAGUAAUUCCAUGUUUAAUUUUUCAAGGAAUUACCAUGCCACAGACACUGUACCACUUUAUAUUCCUACUAGCAAUGCACAAGUGUUCGGAUGUUUCCAAAUCCUUGACAACGCUUCUUCUUUUCUUUCUUUCUUUUUAAAAAAUAUUUGGUAUCCUAUCCUGUACAUAGGAAUGGGCAAAGAUUUUAUGACAAAGACACCAAAAGCAAUCGCAACAAAAGCAAAAGUUGACAGAUGGGAUCUAAUUAAACCUAAGAGCCUCUGCACAGCAAAAGAAACUAUCAACAGAGUAAACAGACAACCUACAGAAUGAGAGAAAAUAUUUGCAAACUAUGCAUCUGACAAAGGUCUAAUAUCCAGCACCUAUAAGGAAUUUAAACAGAUUUACAGAAGAAAAACAACCCCCUUAAAAAUUGGGCAAAGGACAUGAACAGACACUUCUCAAAAGAAGACAUACAUGCGGCCAACAAGCAUAUGAAAAAAAGCACAACAUCACUGAUCACUAGAGAAAUGCAAAUCAAAACCACAGUGAGAUCCCAUUUCACACCAGUCAGAAUGGCUAUGAUUAAAAAGUAAAAAAAAUUAAUAACAGAUGCUGGCACGGUUGCAGAGAAAAGGGAACUCCUAUGCUCUGUUGGUGAGAGUGCAAAUUAGUUCAACCAUUGUAAAAAGCAAUACGGCGAUUCCUCAAAGAGCUAAAAACAGAACUACCAUUCGACCCAGCAAUCCCAUUACUGGGUAUAUACCCAGAGGAAUAUAAAUCAUUCUACCUUAAAGACACGUGCACACGAAUGUUCACUGCAGCACUGUUCACAUGGAAUACUGUUCACAUGCACACAUAGCAAACACAUGGAAUCAACCUAAAUGCCCAUUAAUGACAGAUUGGAUAAAGAAAAUGUGGUACAUAUACACCAUGCAAUACUACGCAGCUAUAUAAAAGAAUAAGAUCAUGUCUUUUGUGGGAACAUGGAUGGAGCUAGAGGCUAUUAUUCUUAGCAAACUAACACAGGAACAGAAAACCAAAUACCACAUGUUCUCACUUAUAAGUGGGAAGUAAAUGAUACGAACUCAUGAACACAGAAGGAAAUGACAGGCGCUGGGGUCUACUUGAGGGUGGAGGGUGGGAGGAAGGAGAAGCAGAAGAGAUAACUAUUGGGUACUGGGCUUCAUAUCUGGGUGAUGAAAUAAUCUGUACAACAGACCCCCAUGACACACCAGUUUAUUUAUGUAACAAACCUCCACAGGUACCCCCGAACCUAAAAUAAAAGUUUUUUUUUUUUUUUAAAGAAAGGAAUGGAAAAAAAGAAACCCACUAGGUAUCCUGAUGGUUGAAAAGCGGUAGUAAAUCGUGGUUUUGCUUUGCAUUUCCCUAAUGGUUAGUGAUGUUGCAGGUCUUUUCAGGUCCUUACGGGCCAUCUGUAUGCCUUCUUUGGAGAGACAUCUGUUCAAGUCCUUUGUCCAUUUUUGAGGCUGGCCUCUGAUUUUAGUUCCAGAUGCAAGACUGGCUAGUUGAGCCAAAAGAUCCCAGUUUCCUUUAAUUUUUUUUUCUUUUUAACUUUUACUUUGAGAUGAAGCCACUUGUUCCUGUAACUGGCUGGACGAAGUUAUGCUUAGACAAAGAUGUUUCUGCAGUGUGAGUGAAUGGCAGGCUACUAUAGUUCUGUCUCUGUGGGGAUGGGGGCAUUCAGCUAUUGCGUUUCAUUGCCUCCCAGGUGUACCCACAGAGACUAUGAUUUGCUUUAGCCAAUGCCUCCCCCCUUGCAACUGGAGCAAAAGGGAGAUUUUGUAGGCUUGGGAAGUAAGUGGUUGAAACUGCUGAAGUAUACAGCUGUGGUUAUCAAGACAGAACGGCCAAGGCAGAGGGAGGUGGCUGGAUGUUUGCUGUAGGCCUAAGUCUUGGCUUUGAGAACAAUAUGGAAGAAAGUCUUCAACCUCUUGGUUCUCACUCCCGGCCAGUAGGCACGUAUUCAUGCUGUUUGUUGUCAGGAAGAUUUUGGGAACGUUCUAUGGUUGUUUAAAUGGGUUGCAGCAUAUUUUAAAACUGGACAUUAUGGUGUGGCAUACUGAUCGUGAGGGAGGCUUAUGUGGGGUGGCGGGGACAGGGAGUACAUGGAAACUUUCUGUGCUUUUUGCUCGGUUUUGCUGCGAACCUAAAACUGCUUUAAAAAUAAAGUAUAUUAAAAAAGAAAGGGCUUUAGUGCCAAAAUAACAAAAAUAUAAAGAUUGUGUCAUAAAUUAAGGAGUAAUAUAAAACAUAUCUUUGGAGAGGUUUGGCUUUCAUAAAUAAGGCUUUAUUGUCAAAGCUAGAUUAAUAUUUAUUGUUAUUUAAUAUUUAUUGCUCAGCCUUGCAUUCUGGGAGUUAGAUAUCUGUAUACUAUAUACAGUAAUUGAAUAAAACCCCAUAUCACAGGUCAUUCACUUGUCUGUGUAUGUGUCCAUAUACGCAUGCACACACACACAACACACAUGCACACACAUUCAUGGGUGUCCUGCACGCAGGACUGGGGAGUCAUGAGGGCUUCAAGGCAACAAGUGCUUGUUGAAUGUGGACUGUGGCAUGGAUAAGGUUGUUGUGUGUUUUCUGACUAUGAAAUCUGCCCCUACUUCUCCUUAACUAAGUUUAUUUUGCUUUGAUGAGCAUCCUGCCUUCCACUGCCCCAACCACUGGGGUUGCUUGGGCCCCCCACAUCUUCCUACAUGCAUGGCCUCUCUUCAAGUUCUUAACCUCUGCAACUCUUAUCACAAGAUCAUGCCCCACUUCUUGAAAUGAUCUUGGCUUCUGGGACACCAUUUUUUCUUGAUUUCCUUUUUCUUUCUCUGAUUCUUCCUGCCUGAUCCCCCUGUAUUGGUCGGAUGGCCCACUAAGAUGUGGCAAUUUAAGAGUAGAAUUUAGGAAAGGUACUAUUACAAAGCUGGGGGCAGGGUUUAGGUUGUUGCAACACCCCAGGUCUAGAGACAGUGGGGAGAACUUACCAGUGCUCUGUCUGAAGGGCCAAGGGGAGGCAGCCAUUAUCAUCAGCAGAACCUGGGGAGAGAGCUGGAUGGAGCAGGUGCAUCUCCUAACAGGUGCUGUUGCCUCAGGGUAGAGAGAUGCUGCCUGCCUGAAGCAAGCAAGCAGGGAGGGGCCGGGGAUAAACACCCUCCUCCCUCCUUGGCAUGUCUUCAUGUGCUCCCGCUUCAUGGGGCUGGGAGGCAGGGAGUCAUAAAUGCAUUUUGUAGGUCGGUGUCCUGGGGCAAAGGGCAGAGAAGAAAAGCAGGAAGGGUGGGUCUGCGGGUCCACACAGAGGGUGUCCAGCUUGCACCACAUCUGUUAUGGGCUGAAUCGUGUCCCCCAAAAUCCAUAGGCUGAAGCCUCAAACCUCAGCACCUCUGAAUGUGACUGAAUUUGGAGAUAGGGUCUUUCCAGAGGUAAUUAAGAUAAAAGAAGGUCAUGGGGUGGGCCCUAAUCCAAUCCGGCUGGUGUCCUUAUAAGAAGAGAUUAGGACACACACAGAGGGAAGACCGUUUGAAGACCUGGCGAGGAAAAGAGGCCACCUGCAAGCCAAGGAGAGGGGCCUCAGGAGAAACUAACUUUGCCGGCACCUUGAUCUCAGACUCGUAGCCUCCACAAGUGUGAAAAACUAAAUGUGUAUUGUUUAAGCCGCCCAGUCUGCAGACUUUGUGAUGGCAGCCCUGGUGGAUGAAUUCACUGCUUAAGUUUGCAGGCACCCCCUACGCUUUCUUCCCUCACCUUGCUUCAUUCUUCUGCUGCAUGUAUUACUGCUGGCUGUGCCCAGCGCUUCAUUCCUGUCUUUCUCUGUCUCCCGAGGCUGUUCCCUUCCAGUCAGCCUCCUGCGGGUGGGCUGUCUCAUCCUUCCUGCCGCAGGCCCGGUGACUAGAACAGCACCUCACAUACAAAAGGUGCUUGGCCAUGGCGGGCAUUUGUUUAAUGAAAGAAAGUUUUCCAAAUCUCUUCUUUCUAAUGUUCUUCUCUGGUUUCUUCUCCUCUGCUCACCUCUUAACUCCAAGGCCUCAUCUCAGCUACACUUGGGGAUAUUUUCCACUCCCUGCAUGGACCCAGAGUCCGGCUGAGGUCAUGUGGCGAGGUCAGAUAUUCUGAAAGUUAAUGCGUCCCCACUUUUGAGUGCCCCUUCUGGGUAGGCCAUUCCAAGAGGGGCUUAUAGGAAGUGCAAGGGAGACGGGCUUGAGCUGAGUUGGACGCACAGUGAGGGAUAUGUGUGUGAGAGACAGAGAGAGAGAGGGAGAGGGGAGACAGAGAGACACACAGAGAGACAGAGACAGAGAGAGACAGAGACAGAGAGACAGAGACAUAGGGGAACACAGGCAGAGAGAGACAGAGACAGAGAGACAGAGACAUAGGGGAACACAGGCAGAGAGAGACAGAGCUACAGAGAGAGACAGAGACAGACAGAGACAUAGGGGAACACAGGCAGAGAGAGACAGAGCUACAGAGAGAGACAGAGGCACACAGAGAGAGACAGAAGCACACAAAGAGAGACAGAGACCAACAGAGCAUUGACACAGGUCCACAGAGACAGAGCUAGAGACAGAGAGAGCGUGCACGGCGCACAUGUAUAUAAAGCCUGUGGGGCGCCUUUUCUUUUCACAUAGUGUGAUCCAGUCCUAUCAAUUACUAGGAUAUUGGCAUUUGUGAUCAUUGCGUCGUCUGGAAUUUUUUUCUGGAAAAAAGAGGAAACACAGCCAUCUGCCCAGAGCCAUCCAGAAUAUGUCCCAGAGGCCUGUCUGUGUGUACGCGCACUCAGAAGCCUGGGGGCCCUUUCCUUGUCUAAAUGUAGCUCCCCCACCGCGUCCCACCCCUGCACAGGAGCGAGGCCUGUGUCAACUUCAGCAGAGCGAGAAUGAGGACAGGCCCAGGGGCAGGGAACUGGACGAAGGGAGUUGGAGGCCUUUUCUUGGGAAUGGGUGGACCAUUGCCCUGCAUGGGGACAGGGACGGCACUGGUGGGGGAAGGAAAUCUUGAGCUGGUUUCGGCCUUGACCCUCAGCAGCUAGCCCCGGGAGCUCUCAUUCUCUGGACGCCAGGGCCUUGGGUUCCUUGGAUGAGGUGAGCAUGAGCAUGUGGGGUAAGUGUUCAUGUUUGUGCAUGUAUGUGUCUGUAUGAAAGAGAGUGAGAAUACGAGAACAUGCCUGUCCUGACUCACAGAGUUGGUGAAAUAAAAUCAAAGACCCAAUGAAAAAGCUCUUGAAAAGGUAAGAGGUCUGCCCAGAGCCAAGGUUUGUUGCCGAUCCUGGGAUUAGCUGACUUCUGGGCAUUUGGAGCCUGCAGCCGUCUGGACAUGAUCUGGGGACAAGUGGAGGCCAAGAACUGAAUAUCAGAGAGAGUCUCAGAGAGAAGGAAUGUGGACUAUGGCAGGUUGCCAGGGAUCACUCAUGCACACGGAUGUUUUGUUUCAUUUUUUAGAAACUUUGGGAGAGGAAAUAAGGGGGAGAAAAUGUAGAAUAUAUUGCAUUUCAGAACUUAGGAUGCCAACAACAAAUUGUACAACUGCUGAAGCUUAUUAUGGGGGUUUGUUAACAUGUGAACUUAAAUGCACCAAUCCUAUCCCUUGCCUCCAUUCAUUUAACUGUUUAAUAAAUAUUUGUUGAAUGCCUAAGAUUGAUUAAUUAAUUCAGCCAAUCACAGAUACUAUCACCCUCUUGCUGCAUACAUAGCAUUGUGCUAGAGUUGAUAUAAUGUCUAACAUGUUUGAGGAAUUAUUUCAUUCUGGAAAUUAUUCUUUCCACCUCUUCAGCAUCCUAGGAGAACUCCAAAUAAACCUUAGCAUCUUAUUUCAAUAUUUUUACAUCACUUGUUUAAAAUUUCUUAAAACCAAACCGGGUUUAUUUAUGUCAAAGUAUACGCAAAAUGUAUGUGCACGAGAGAUGCCAUCUGCAAAUAUAAAAGUCUGUAAACCAAGUCCCUGCCCAUGAUGGGGUGACACAGGGUGGAAAGCGUGUGCAGGCUUGCAUUCUUAUAAAUAUGGAUGAAAUGCACAUUCAAGAAUGGUUUGGAAAUGAUUAUUUCCUCCAUUUGUUGGCCAAAUGUACCAAAUCCUUAUCUUGGCCUCUUCCUUCUUUUGUUUGGAAAGCCCCACGUUGUCCUUGUCAACUUCCUCACUCAUGCUGGUCUCUGGAAUGAAUUGUUCCACCUCUCCCUGGGCUAUUCACUGCAACCAAGGACAUCUUAGCAAUGUGAUAUAUUUUCCCCUCUCCGAAGUCAAAUAGAUGUUUUAUAUCCAAUGGGCCAGAUUGUGCAGGAGCUUGUCUUCACCCCCACAGGCCACAGGCUGGAGCCUUCCUGGAACAGAGGCUACAUUGGCUGUCUUUUGACAAAGGUGCAUCCCAGCACAGAAGGGCAGCACAGAGGCAGCCUGAGAAGAUUCUGUCGCUGCCAGGUCACCAGGACCUCUGGACCACAGCUGGGUUGCGCUGUUUUCCAGUUUGUGAAACUAGGACUUUGGGGAACAUCCUGUGAAUUGGUGUCAUUUUGAUUUUCCUGGAGGAUUUUUGAGGUCAGCGUGACUGCUGUCACUAACUAAAAUAAAAUCCGAAGUCCCCAAGUGACUGAACAGACCCCCUCUUGGCCAAGGGGACCCCAGAGAAACCUGAAAGCUGAGCUCCCAGCCAUGAGGGGACGGGCGAUCGGACACGCUUCAUCACAGUCCCUCCCCUUUGUGGUUUAAACGACGAUGAUCGGCUGUCAUGCUAAAAUAGAGACACGAGACCGACAGCACAGACUCCUUAUGGCAAUAAGACACCAAAUUAUAAGCAGCACCUCAGGCCACGCCAGGUAAGGGUCGAGCCGCGCACUCUACACUUAGAGAACGGACUCUGCUCUCACACCACAGCGUCUUCUUUUUCUUCAGCAGCUAAACACGCACCGGCCCCGAGAUUCAAACGACUGCAGCUCAUCCACCUGCAGACGCUGGCUGACCCCGUUCCACAGCUGUGACUAUAGCUUUGAUUGGACAAGAGGUUGAUUUCAGUCUCCUGGUAAGAGACCACCAACCAUAGACCUGGUUCAGGCUGAUUAUAGAAGCUGCACACUUGUAUGCCUUCGAGUCCCUGCCUCACCUUUUGACGUGUAGGGACUCAUUGUAAUGCUUUUAAAUGUGAAGCCUCCACCCCAAAGUGAACAUGGGACGCAUGUAACGUGCAUGUUCAGUGGGCACGGCUCAGGACUCUCUUUGUGAAUAUUCAUAGCUCCUCCUGGAACCUGAAUAUGUAUGUUUGGCCAGCUCAAUUCAGCAUGAGGCUCCUGCUGCAACACCGCCUCCUUCCAGGUGCCUGCCAGCUGUUUCUGCCAGAGGCUGCGUCUCCCGGCCUGUCAGAAUGGCCACCCUGCAGGCUGUAAUCCUUUAGAAGAAAUAAAGAUCCCCUUUCCAGAUGUAUAGAUCUUGUGAUUUUUUUCCAUUCACAUCCUUGCAUCUUAUAAUGCCCUGUCUCCAUGGGGGUUACAUAGAAAGCCCUCAGCCUCUAGGGCAGAUGGAGCCAGGACUGAGGGUGGGGGUGGAGAAGGAUCAGGAGACUCACUUCAAGGACUUUCUGGUGCCGGCAGUGUAGGCUUGCCAGAUGAAAUACAGGACACCCAGCAACAUGAACUUUCGUAAUUUUUAUAGUGUAAAUGUGUUCCAAAUAUUGCAUGGGACAUGCUUAUCCUGAAGAAUUAUUCAUUGUUUAUCUGAAAUCCAAAUUUAACUAGGUGUCCUGUAUUUUUAUUUGCUAAAUCUGGUGACCCUUCACUGGGGAGACGCUUUUAAACAGCCUCAACUUAGAAAUUCUUCUCUUCCUGCCAAAAGCGCUAGGGUCUGUAUAUGGGUGCAUGGAAACACGAAAUUAUUGUCACAGGACUGAAGAGUAUGAAAGACUUCUAGUAACCACCAGCUGUGGCAGGGGCCUGUGCAGGGGGUACCCUGGCAGGGAGGAAGCUGCCUUAAUUUUCAACCUCGGACAGAAAAGCGCAUCUGUUAGACACAGCAGAAAGCAGACCUACAUGUAUGGUUAAUAAGGACUAUGUAUUUGACUGCUGUGGGUUCAAUUGUGUCCCUGCGAGAGACACAUUGAAGUCCUAACCCCUGCUGCUUCAGCAUUUGGCUUUAUUUGGAAAUAAGGUCACUGCCAGUGCAGUUAGCUGAGAUGAAAUCAUACUGGUGUCUGGUGGGCCCUUAUUCCAAUAUGACUCGUGAUAUCACAAGAAGAGGAGGACAGACACAGAGACACACUCCAGAGGGAGAAGGCCAUGUGACAGCCACGGACUGCUGGAAGCAGCGGAAUCUAAAGGCAAGGCAGGGAACAGAUUCUCCCUCCCAGUCCUUCGAGAGAACCAACUCUGCCGACAGCUUGAUUUCAGAAUUCUGGUUUCCAGAACGACAAAACGACUGAGGGUUCUCUGCAAUGAAUUUCAAGUUCUGAAUUGAAAGAGGCUUCAGAGCCUGAAGAAAGAGGCGAUGCCAGCACUCUCUGGAGUGGGAUCCACAGAAGCAGAGAAAGCCCAGGGGAUGAGCCAACCCAGAAUCCAAACGCCCGUGGAUCGGGCCAGACCCAGGACGGCGCUAUCUUGCACACCCAUCACAGGCUUGGGGACACUAGAACUGCACUGUCAGAUAUUCCUGACUUCAUGUGUGUGUGUUUGUGUGUGUGUAGAUCAGGCCAUAUGAUUUACUUGCUGCACUCUGAGCGAUGCUGUGUAGAUAAAGCUAUAUUAUCUAUUUGCUACACUCUGAAUAAUGCCUUCCUCAGUGAUAAUCAUAAUCAAGUGAGCUUUGGAUUGUCAUUAUGAAGUCUCAAAUUAAAACAAUUGGUUGAGAUACUGCCAGCAAGGCAACUAGAUCGGGGAUUGCAGCUGCUGAUGCCAGUCUAGUAUUUAGGUAAGAGGAUGCCUCCACCCUCUUAGAGCAUGUGGCUUGCACAUCCAUUCUUUCAGUGCAGGAAGGGCUGGAGUGUCCACUCCCUACUCCCAACCCCAUCAGUUGUUGUAUGGUCCAAAAUGCAAAGUAAUUUUAAUGUGAUCCAAGAUGCAUAUAAAAACAUUUUAAAAACAGAUAUGUUAUGCAUUGCUUAGAAUGAUGCACCAUCCGCUUCAUGAACAAGCAAGAACUAACUCUAUCAUUGACUUCAUCCACAAAUACUAGAGGUGAUGAACUUGAGGUCAAAGUUCCGAAGUCAGACAGCAUGGGUUUAUUCAUCGCCUGCUAUGUGCAAAUCCUAGAUGUCACCAGGCUCUGCUCACUUGGUGUCUUGGCCACUCUGGGUGAUGUUUACACAAGGCUUGGUGGCUUUGAGAUGGGUUGCAAACAAGAGAUAUCAGUUGUUGGACUUUUGCUUAUAGCUUGGGGUUGGACAUCCUCUAUCCCUCGAUACCUCCUUGCACCCAUCAGCCGUUAUCUUUGAAGGAAACUUUUUCCUUGAGUCUGGUUCCUUGUCUUCAGGUUCUAACCUCAUGGUUUUGGAUCCUUGUCCCUAUGGUUGUGAUCCUUCCUGUCCUUGGCUCUAGUGCUCUUUUUUUUUUUUUUUUCUAUUUCUUUCCUCUACCUGUGCACAUGACCUCUUUGAAGAGCUCACCUCCUCCAGGAAGCCUCCCUGGAAUCACCCUUUUGCCUUCCAUUCUCCUUGUUUAUACAGUCCAUGUCAGUAUAUCCAAAUUGAAUUAUCGCGGUGUGCUGCUUUGCAAUGUGUAUCUGAUUUCACCAAAACCCUCUACUGUCUCUAAUCCCGGGUAUCCAAUUUCAUGUGAAGUUCAGUGAUGUGCUCCUCCCUCCUCCUCUUGCACGCAUGAGCAGGUACUCAACACUUUCUGGUCCAGCUACAUGUGACAUGAGGCCACUCACGCUCUUUUUAAUUAACCCUUAUGACAAUCAUGUGCGUUAUGGAGAAAAUUAAUGGAGGAAAAAUUACAGAGUCACCCGAAACAGUUGCGCUGCUUAUCACCCGGUGUUUGAGCCUGUUUCCCCUGUAAUUAGAUUACAUGUGAGGCAGCCCCAGCUAAUUGUCUGUGCCACCCACCGGGGAACUCCAGCUCUAUCUGUGAACACCCAGGCCUUCCCGCCGCAGGACAGAUGUUGGGUGAGGCUUGCCUCCCACGCAAACAUCUGCUCUGUUGUUCCGAGUCAGUCACGAGAGCCAGCCGGCUUAGACAAGCAGGGGAUGAAUUCCUGGGCGAGAUGCUUGAUCCUGCCAAGUUUCUGAGCACCAGGCUUGGGCCUCUUGAACAGUUCCCUGCAUCUUCCAUGAUCGGCCAGUGCCUCUGCUUCUGCAUUUAGAAACCAGAGUUCACUUCUGGUGGCCUCAAGCCAAAAUGAGUCUACGAACCAGAAGUCUCUUGACAUUGACACUGAUAAACUUUGAUAUGGAAGCAUUUUUGUUUUUGGCAACCAUCAAUUUUUUUUUGUUUUUCCUCAAACACAUGCAUGGAUGAUGUGAGAACCGGUACCUGGAAACUGAGAGACUGCCGCAUGUGUUUCGGGCUCCCAGCUCUAUCCAUAACUGUCUUUGGGGGCUUCCUAGGCAACCUGG